rnacentral:rRNA from 1 species
UACGGAGGGAGCUAGCGUUGUUCGGAAUUACUGGGCGUAAAGCGCACGUAGGCGGCUACACAAGUCAGAGGUGAAAGCCCGGGGCUCAACCCCGGAACUGCCUUUGAAACUGGGUGGCUAGAAUCUUGGAGAGGCGAGUGGAAUUCCGAGUGUAGAGGUGAAAUUCGUAGAUAUUCGGAAGAACACCAGUGGCGAAGGCGACUCGCUGGACAAGUAUUGACGCUGAGGUGCGAAAGCGUGGGGAGCAAACAGG